ensembl:misc_RNA 7SK 7SK RNA
AGAUGGGAGGGCAACCUGGCUGCAACCCCGUCACCCUACUGGUUGGCAGGGUUGACUCAGCCGACCUGGCUGCCAGGCAGAUGUCCUCUUCCUCCCUUGCCUGCUCCACGUUCAUCCCUCCUGAAGCUGCACGCCCAGUUGAAGCGGAUGCCACCCCAACUGAGGAGGACCAUUUCCUGGAUAAGGGUAGCUGUGGGCUUCUGCUAGAACCUGCAAAUAAUACCUGCUUCCAUGAGUGAUGGAGCUGCUCUGUUCAAGUUCACAGUCAAGAACUCUGCUCCCUCUU